rnacentral:rRNA from 1 species
GACGAACGCUGGCGGCGUGCCUAAUACAUGCAAGUCGAACGAGUGGCGGACGGGUGAGUAACCCGUGGGAACCUACCCAUCAGUGGGGGAUACCAUUUGGAAACAGGUGCUAAUACCGCAUACGGUAUGCUGGACGCGCGGUGCAUUAGUUAGUUGGUGAGGGAACGGCUCACCAAGUCCACGAUGCAUCGCCGGCCUGAGAGGAUGAUCAGCCACACUGGGACUGAGACACGGCCCAGACUCCGACGGGAGGCAGCAGUGGGGAAUAUUGCACAAUGGGCGCAAGCCUGAUGCAGCCAUGCCGCGUGUAUGAAGAAGGCCUUAGGGUUGUAAAGUACUUUCAGUCGGGAGGCGUUACCGACAGAAGAAGCACCGGCUAACUCCGUGCCAGCAGCCGCGGUAAUUC